UUAGCUCUCUUUCUAAUAUUAUGUACGUUAAAGUUAUUGUAUGUCUCCCUCAUCCUGUCUCUCUUUUCUCUCUCAAUUCAUCACAGAAAUUUGUGGCAGUAAACGUGUCCAGUGUCAUCAUACAAGUCACCACCAUUGGCCAUACUCCUGUGAAAGUGUCCUCUUCUGGCAUCAUCAAACAAGAGUGACUGCAGGAAAAGGGAGUCGUCUGCUAGUGUCAGGUUCAGUGUAGACAGUAAGUUUGUACACAAAUAUGUUAGAUUGUACCGUUGUGUGUUACUGAUAUGUGGAGGUGCAAGGAGUGUAGUCUAUCUUUUUAGACUAGAUAUGAUAUACUUCAACAUUUAAGACUACAUCACCGCCAUAGACAACUUCACUCAUGCCCAUAUCAAAACUGUCCAUGCAAUUUUAAGACGCAAAAUGCGUUGAGCAUACAUUUAAGUAGAGUUCAUCCUAAGCAAACUCAAAGUCAGGAGCUCCUGGAAUUGGAAACAUUUUGUUGUCCUUUGUGCAACUGUAGCAAUAUUUCUACAGAGAGGGACUUUUUCACACAUACUGGCAUUCAUUUUAAGAGUCAAGAAACUGUUACCUGUAUGUUUGGGGAUUGCACUUUCAAAACAAAUAUCUAUGCAACAUUUCACUCCCACAAGAACCGGAAACACAACCCCCAUACAUUAAAUGAUUUUAAACCAGAGUUUCACAAGAAUCAACUGACAGUGCAGAGGACGAUACACUUAACCCAGAUGACUGUGCAGUGGAAUUAAACAGUGCAUCUUCAAAUAAUGGUGAUAUAAGCAAGACCCUGCCUGACAUUAUUGAGCAGAACUUUGCUGCAACUUUGCUUAAACUAGAACAUUUGGCACAUGUGCCAGGCACAAAAGUUGAUGAGUUUCUACAGGAGCUACACUAUUUGUUGUGCUCAGCUGCAUUUCCUCUCACUGUUAACACUAUUGAAACUAUGUUUCAGAAACAUGGCUCCAUACCUGAAGUCAGUGAUAAAAGAAGUAGCCACAGCCCUUGCCACGUCUCACCCCUUGCUAAAAUCUGUAGAGAAAGGUGGCUCUUUGAGCAUAUCUACGAAACAAAUUUUUCAAGGAGAACUUUAAUGUCAUUGCACCCACUGAGUACAUGCUUGAUGAAAAGGAAAACAAAAGCUUUCAGUAUGUGUCUUUACUGAAGAGCUUGCAACAGCUCUUCAAUAGGAAAGAUGUUGUGGAUAAAGUUGUUGAAGAGCACAUCAGAGUCAUGGGGUCACAGGAGAACAGUGUACUUAUAAAUCAUUUCAAGAUGGCUCUCACUUUAAGGGAAAUGGUUUUCUUUCAGGGGGUGAGUUAAGAAUCUUGCUAACUUUGUACAUAGACGAUUUCGAGCUGUGUAAUCCUCUUGGCACUUUGCGCAGGAGACAUAAGCUCUGUGGUAUCUACUGGACUUUGAGUAAUUUGCUUCCAGGCUCACAUUCAGCACUAUCCGCGAUUUACCUGGCAAUCUUGUGCAAAUCUGAUAAUGUGAAGAAGUACAGUUAUGACAAUGUCCUGCAUCCUCUUCUUCAAGAUGUAAAAACCCUUGAGCAGGAAGGAAUUUUUGUCCCAUUGCUUGGUAAAUGUGUUAAAGGCACAAUUCAAGUUGUUGCAGCGGAUAACCUCGGUGCCCAUAGUGUGGCAGGUUUUAAUGAAAGUUUUUCUGGUGGGUACAUCUACCGAUUCUGCACAGCAACACGGGCAGAGAUCCAAACAAGAGAUGUGAAAUCAGGUUCAUUUGAUCAGAGGACUAAAGAACUACAUGACUUGCAUGUAAAUUCAGCUCAGCAGAACAGUUCAAGCUGUUUUGGGGUGAAAGGCCCAUGUGUAAUCACCAAAAACCUUGCCCACUUUAAUGUUCUGACUGGUUAUCCACCAGAUAUCAUGCAUGAUGUCUUUGAAGGCAUCGUACCUGUGGAGCUUGCAAAUUGUUUGUCACUGCUGAUAUCCAAGAAAUAUUUCAGUCUUGAGCUUCUGAACAAGUCUAUCCUUAGUUUUCCCUUCAAGUGGUCAGACAAGACUAACAGGACCCAUGUAAUUCCACACACAUUCUCAAAAACAAUCGGGGGGAACGCUCAUGAGAACUGGGCUUUGAUAAGAUUUCUUCCAUUCAUCAUUGGGCAUCUUGUGCCAGGAGACGAAAUGGCAUGGCAAAUUUUUUAUGGUUCUAAAAGAUGUUGUAGAGCUGGUGGUUGCUCCAACACACACAGAAGACUCUGUUGCUUACCUUGAGUGCAAAAUUUCAGAGCACCGCAAAAGAUACCAAGAACUGUUUCCUAAUGUGCAGCUUCUACCCAAACAUCAUUACCUAGACCAUUAUCCUGGACUCAUCAGGCAGUUUGGUCCUCUCGUUGGUCUCUGGACUAUGCGAUUCGAGGCCAAGCACAGUUUUUUUAAGCAUGUAAUUCGACACUCCAACUGCUUCAAAAACGUGCCCCUCUCGCUAGCUUUUAAGCAUCAGCUCAUGAUUUCGUAUCACAUGAGAGCACCCAGUUUUGAAAAGCCUGUCCUUGAGCUGAUAAAUGUCUCAACAGUUCCUAUUGAUGUUUUAAAAACAGACAUUGUUGAGAACAUUGAACAAAGAUUUCCUGGUACCAGAGAGGUACACAUGACUCGAUCUGUGUCAACCAAAGGUGUAACUUUUAAAAAGGACAUGAUUAUAGCUCAUGGGUCUACGAGUGGACUUCCUGAUUUUGGACAGAUUGUUCACGUUUUUGUUAUUCAGGAGAGACUGUUUUUUAUGGUUAAGAGACUUUGUGGAUGGCAUAAUGAGCAUUACAGGGCUUUUGAGCUCACGGCAUGUCCAACCAAACACACAGAUCUGAUUGAGCUUAGUGACCUAGCAGAUGACUACCCUCUGGCAGACUACUUUGUUGGAUCUCUCAGAAUGGUGACAUUAAAAAGACACAUACAUGUAUAAGAUUGUUGAUGAAAUGGCUGCUCCAGUG